rnacentral:misc_RNA from 1 species
AUAAACAUCGGCUAACUCCAUUAACUCUUCCCUACUCUUUUCUUUUGCCCCAGAGUUUUUGGACCAGUGUUAUUUAUGUAAGUUCAGGAGAAGUUUAUGUAUUACAUUAUUGAUAUUAAAUAGUUUGAUUAGGCUUAAACUUAAUUUUAGGUCAUUGCGGGGGUUUACCUCAGUAGGCUAGAGCAUCGGCUUUGCAAGCCGAGGGUCUAGGGUUCGAGUCUCUUAGACUCCAUUGGGCUUAUGCCCUAAAUUGUAAUUAAGUAUGUUUUUAAGUAUCUUGGUGAAAGUCCUUGUUGGAAUGGGAAACACGUGAAGUUAAAAUUUCUGGGUUAAGUUUAUUCUGUUGGUUGGCCAAAAAUGUGAAGAAGCAAAAGCAAUCUUUCAAUAAAACCCAAAGUUGUUUCGCUAAACUGCAAGGAUUAGACAGGAUGGUAUUUUUCUCCUCCCCAUUAAAUAAACUUUUUGCAUUUGGUAAUUAGCUUUUAGUUAGGAAACAAUGCACAUUACUAACAGUGAUGCCUGAUAGAAGGACAAGUUGGCAGCGAGCUUAAAUCCUUACCACGAUGCCAGGUUGAGUGGUAGGGAUUCGGACAAGAUCCCCUGUUAAAGUUGAAGGAAG